rnacentral:lncRNA from 1 species
CUUGGAGUGCGCGAAUGGAAAUUCGUGGAUCAAUUUCAAGUGCCCUUUUCUCAACUUGGAUUGUAAAUUCUAACGGACAAAAGGUUUCAUCAUGCGACAUCAACACUUUCUUCUGGCAACAAUGACUUAUGAUAUCCGAUGCUUUGAGAAUACAUUUAUUCCAGCGGCGCUCUUCAUUAUGUUCUAUUUUGAAUAUAAACUCAUUUAUGGCCUCUAGGCCCUUUCGUUCGAGAAAAUGAAGUCUUCCCAACUCUACAAAUGGAUAACAUAUUUAUUAUUAUUUAUUUUUUCGGUAGGAUAUCAUAGCUUUAGCAUGUACAUAAAAAUUUAAGAUGUUAAAUUUUAUAAUUACAAAAAUAUACGAUUAAAGAUGGAAUUAAUUAUAAGCCUCUCUCGAUUUAUAAAUUGUGACAAAAUUAUAAAAAUUUCGGUCAUAAUAAAACCAUAACUUUGUAGACU